rnacentral:rRNA from 1 species
GAGUUGCGAACGGGUGAGUAACGCGUAGGUAACCUGCCUCUUAGCGGGGGAUAACUAUUGGAAACGAUAGCUAAUACCGCAUAAAAGUCGACAUUGCAUGAUGUUGACUUGAAAGGUGCAAUUGCACCACUACCAGAUGGACCUGCGUUGUAUUAGCUAGUUGGUGAGGUAACGGCUCACCAAGGCAACGAUACAUAGCCGACCUGAGAGGGUGAUCGGCCACACUGGGACUGAGACACGGCCCAGACUCC